UUGUAUAUACUUUAAACACAAUAAGCUAUGCAUUAUAAAUUUUUAAAUACUUCUUUUGUUGCAGGAAUAUGAUGUUACAAAUACUAAUCAUGCUGAUUUAAGACUUCCUGCAUUACUAACAUCCUCAAUACUCGUAUGCAAGUGAACCACGUGUUACUAACACAUUGUCCCCCAUUGCAAUGUAGUAAGUCAUGUUAAACGACAUCCUGACAUAACCGGCUGGUUUAGAUAGACUUGUACCGCAAGGAUAGACUAGAUAGGUUGUUAGGAUUCAUCUCUAUCUAUGUAACUUGAAUAUCUAUCUCUAGCUUAAACAAGAUUGUAUCCCAACUGCUUGUACGCUAUCAGGGAGGUUGCGACCCUGCUAUAUAACACGAAGCCGUCGGCCUCAAAGGGCACAACGUUCCUAGCCUACUUUACAUGGUAAUCAGAGCCGCCUCUUCCACUACAUCUAGCCUUCCAAACCCCAUCGCCUAAAGCUUCCGCCAUGGCCUCCUCCAGCACCUCCAACUCCGCCCUCUCUGUCCAAAUCACCGGAAGGCUCACCCGCACAAAUUACAUCCUCUGGUGCACACAAAUCAUGCCGCAGCUCAGAGGUGCGGGAUUCUAUGGCUAUGUUGACGGCACCGUGAAGGAGCCAGUCACAUCUGUCGUCACCAAGGACAAGGACGGGAAGGAGGAGCACAUCCCGAACCCCCUUCAUCCGAUCUGGAUCCGGAAGGAUCAGCAGGUGCUCGGCUACCUCCUGAACAACCUCUUCAAGGAAGUUCUCGUGCAGGUAACAUCGAUUUCCCAUGCACAUGAACUAUGGACAGCUCUGGCGAACAUGUUUUCAUCUCAGUCAAUGUCCCGAGUAAACAAUAUCCCCGUCGCUCUUGCGAACGCACAGAAGGGCAACCAAACCGUUGCAACCUUCUUUGCGCAUAUGCGCUCCCUGGCUGAUGAACUGGCUGCUGCCGGCAAGCCCCUCGACGACGACGAGCUCAUCUCCUACAUUGUGGCUGGACUCGACAUGGAGUACCAGCCACUUGUCUCCGCCCUCGACGCCCGCUUGGAACCGGUCACCCUUGACGAACUGUUUGCUCAGAUGAGCAACUUCGAUCAAAGGGUGGCACUCUUCCAAGGCGCCAACACCGGAGGAUUCAAGUCAUCUGCAAACGCCGCCACACGCGGCCAUAGUGGUCGUGGCCGUGGAACAAACCGCAGCAGAGGAAACUACAACAACUCCUCCUCUCGCGGUGACCGCGGUGACCGCGGUGACUUCCGCGGCAACGGUGGCCGGUCCUCCUCCACCAACAACAGGGGCCGCCACAACAACUCCUCCAACAAAAGAUCUGAUGUUGUCAAGUGUCAGAUUUGUGGCAAACUUGGCCACUCGGCCAAGGAUUGUUGGUAUCGCUUCGAUGAUGAUGGCGACUCCUCCCAGGAUGAGAAGGUGGCCGGAGCUGCUGAUGGCUCCUAUGGUGUGGACACCAACUGGUACAUGGACAGUGGAGCCACAAACCAUAUCACUGGUGAGCUUGAGAAGGUGACAAUGCAUGAGAAGUACCUCGGGAAGGACAACAUCCACACUGCUAGUGCAGAAGGUAUGGAGAUUUGUCACGUUGGUCAUUCAAUUAUUAAAACCCCUCACAAAAAAAUUCGUGUACGAAAAUUUUUGCAUGUACCUAGUGCCUCCAAAAAUCUACUCUCUGUUCAUCGCAUUGCCAUUGAUAAUCAUGUCUUUCUUGAGUUUCACCCUUUCUUCUUUUUGAUCAAGGAUCAGGCAACGAAGAGGGUGCUAUAUCGAGGUAGAUGCGUUCGUGGGCUUUACCCACUAAUUCCAGAGAUUAGAAGAUUCAAUAAACAAGCUUUUGGUGCUACCAAGUUAUCUCUACACGGUGGCACGAUAGGGUAGGUCAUGCAGCUUUUUCCUUAGUUGAACGAUUGCUUAGGAAGAAUAAACUCUCAUAUGUUGGAGAGCAUAAUGUUGAAACAGUUUGUGAUCCAUGUCAAAAAGCUAAAAGUCAUCAGUUACCUUAUCCAGUUUUCACCAGUGUUUCUACAAAACCCUUGCAACUUAUUUUUUCUGAUGUUUGGGGACCUGCUCCCUCAUCUGUUGGUAGACACUCUUACCACGUAAGUUCCAUUGAUGACUAUAGCAAAUAUUCCUGGAUCUAUCUUCUCAAGAAACAAUCCGACGUUUUUCAAGUGUUCCAAAAUUUUCAGGCUCUUGUUGAACGAAAAUUUGACACAAAAAUCAUAGCUGUUCAGUCUGAUUGGGGAGGAGAAUAUGAAAAAUUGAACUCCUUCUUUCAGACACUUGGGAUUUCUCAUCAUGUGUCCUGUCCACAUGCCCAUCAGCAAAAUGGCUCUGCUGAGCGCAAACACAGACAUGUUGUUGAGGUAGGAUUAGCACUUCUAGCCCGAGCAUCCAUGCCCCUCAAAUUUUGGGAUGAGGCUUUUCUUACUGCAGUUCAUCUCAUCAAUAUUCUAUAUAGCCGAGUCAUCAACAAUGAAACACCCACAGAAAAACUCCUCCACACCAAACCAGAUUACACCUCUCUCCAUGUGUUUGGUUGUGCCUGCUGGCCCAAUCUGAGACCAGAUAAUAACCGCAAACUUAUGUUUCGGUCACAACAAUGUGUUUUCAUUGGCUAUGGUCCCCUUCAUAAAGGAGUCAAGUGCCUUGACGUCUCCACAGGUCGAGUCUAUAUUUCUCGCGAUGUCGUAUUUGAUGAGACAAAAUUCCCCUUUGCUGAUCUACAUCCUAAUGUCGGAGCCCUUCUUCGCAAAGAAAUCUUGCUUCUAUCCCCUCAUCUUACCAAUUUUGAUCGUGGGGAAAUUAAUAAUUGCAAUGAUCAUACGUUGACUAACUCUCACAACCUGCAUGAGCCUCUUGAUGAUGCAGAUUUUACCACCGUUGGAGCCGACACAGACGACAAUGGUGAAAAAAAUACACAUAGCACUCCAUAUUUUAUGUGUCGGCCGCCGGGGAGCAUAUCUGCCUCGGGAUCGCAGCUGCAGCAGGGUGGCAGCGGUGGCAGCGAAUCUGCUCCGAGAUCCGCACCGAUCCAGCAGGGCGUCAGCGCGACAGACACCGCGUCCGCCCCCAGGUGUGCCGGGCCUCGCGCCCGCGCCGAUGUGCCCGCCAGCCGUUGGCCCGCAGGCGGGCCCCGCACCUACACCCGUCAGCAAACCGACGCGCUCACGCGAUCCGAGGAGGAUCCGCCUGGUCGGCCGACCGGGGAGCGAGAUGCUGUCGGGCCGCCUGGAUCUUCUGCGCCAACUAAUGCAUCCGCGCAUUCACUAGAAGCCACAGGGGAUGCAGACGAUCCCGCCGCUUCUUCUGGUGAUCCUGUUCCCCUGACAAGGACAGGCGACGGCGGCGGAUCUUCUACGCCGGCUCCUACUCCGCCACCACGUACCCGGCUCCAACUUGGGGUAAUCCCACACAUAAACUACAAAACCAAGUUUGGUCUUGCUUGUUCUACAGGUGAACCAAAUAGCCUUGCCGAAGCAUUGGGUGAUGCGAAGUGGAAAAAGGCUAUGGAGGAAGAAUGUGAUGCACUUCACAAAAACAAAACUUGGCACCUGGUUCCUCACUCCAAAGGUAAAAACUUGAUAGGUUGCAAGUGGGUCUUCAGAAUUAAAAGAAAAGCUGAUGGGUCUAUAGACCGUUACAAAGCUAGACUUGUUGCAAAAGGCUUCAAGCAAAGGUAUGGCAUAGACUAUGAGGACACAUUUAGUCCAGUGGUAAAAGUUGCCACCAUUCGUCUUGUACUAUCCAUUGUUGUCUUCAGGGGGUGGAGCCUAAGACAACUAGAUGUACAGAAUGCGUUUCUUCAUGGCGUUCUGGAAGAGGAAGUAUAUAUGAAACAACCACCUGGGUUCGUCAAUAAAAACUCACCAAAUCAUGUGUGCAAACUUGAUAAGGCUCUCUAUGGAUUGAAGCAGGCACCAAGGGCAUGGUACUCUCGUCUCAGUCAAAAACUGCAAACACUUGGGUUCAUUCCUUCAAAAUCUGAUACAUCCUUAUUUAUCUAUAAUAAGUCAAAUACAUCCAUAUUUGUACUUAUCUAUGUUGAUGAUAUUAUUGUCACAAGUUCAUCUAAUGAGGCUGUGACAGGGCUCUUAAAGGACUUAAGUGCUGAGUUUGCUCUCAAGGAUUUUGGUGACCUGCAUUUCUUUCUUGGUAUUGAGGUAAAGAAACUUGGACUCCAUCUCUCCCAGGAAAAAUAUGCUGCUGAUUUGGUAAGAAGGGUUGGUUUGCAAGGAUGUAAGCCAUCACUAACUCCUCUAUCUAGCACAGAAAAAUUGUCCCUUUCAGAAGGAGAUCUUUUGAAUCAAGAAAACAGCACCAGAUAUAGGAGUCUGGUAGGGGCUCUUCAAUAUCUUACAUUGACUAGGCCUGAUCUUUCUUUUGCUGUCAAUAAAGUAUGCCAGUUUCUUCAUGCACCUACUACUGCACAUUGGACAGCUGCAAAGCGUAUUGUGAGAUAUGUGAAAAACACUAUGAAGCUUGGUCUCACAUUUACUAAAUCCACAUCUACUCUUGUCAGUGUUUUUUCUGACUCUGACUGGGCGGGAUGCAUAGAUGACAGGAGAUCCACUGGGGGCUUUGCAGUAUUUUUUGGUCCAAACCUCAUAUCUUGGUGUGCAAAGAAACAAGCAACUGUCUCAAGAUCAAGUACAGAGGCUGAGUACAAAGCAUUAGCAAAUGCUACAGCAGAAAUUAUUUGGGUGCAGUCCAUGCUUAAAGAACUUGGUGUAAAACACAUCCAAGCUCCUUGUUUAUGGUGUGACAACCUUGGUGCUACUUAUCUGUCUGCUAACCCUGUUUUUCAUGCAAGGACAAAGCACAUUGAGAUAGAUUUCCAUUUUGUCAGAGAACGAGUUGCCAACAGAAAAUUAGAAAUUUGAUUUAUACAUUCACAAGAUCAGGUUGCAGAUGGGUUCACAAAGGCCUUGCCCACCAGGAAUCUUGAAGAGUUCAAGCGCCACCUGAACCUACGCAGUUGUGACUAAGGGAGGGUGUUAAACGACAUAACCGGCUGGUUUAGAUAGACUUGUACCGCAAGGAUAGACUAGAUAGGUUGUUAGGAUUCAUCUCUAUCUAUGUAACUUGAAUAUCUAUCUCUAGUCUAUCUCUAGCUUAAACAAGAUUGUAUCCCAACUGCUUGUACGCUAGCAGGGAGGUUGCGACCCUGCUAUAUAACACGAAGCCGUCGGCCUCAAAGGGCACGACGUUCCUAGCCUACUUUACAAGUCAUACAAGUAAUCAGUGAAAUACUAUUUGCUAGCUAGAGCGUUUACUGUUUGGAAAUAUUCAUUUUUUUCUAAAAAGGGG
rnacentral:lncRNA from 1 species